AACGAACGCUGGCGGCGUGCUUAACACAUGCAAGUCGAACGAAGUGGCGAACGGGUGAGUAACGCGUAAUCAACCUGCCCUUCAGAGGGGGACACCAGUUGGAAACGACUGCUAAUCCCGCAUACUGACGGAGGGGCUUGCGUCUGAUUAGCUAGUUGGCGGGGUAACGGCCCACCAAGGCGAUGAUCAGUCGCCGGUCUGAGAGGAUGAACGGCCACAUUUGGACUGAGACACGGGCCAGACUCCUACGGGAGGCAGCAGUGGGGAAUCGUCCGCAAUGGACGAAAGUCUGACGGAGCAACGCCGCGUGAGGGAUGACGGCCUUCGGGUUGUAAAGCUCUGUUAAUCGGGACGCGGUACCGGAAUAGAAAGCCACGGCUAACUACGUGCCAGCAGCCGCGGUAAUUC
rnacentral:rRNA from 1 species